UGGGAUUGCACAGACAACCAGGAUGUUGGCUUAGAAGCAGCCACUCAUUCAAAGAGUGCGUAAUAGCUCACUGGUCGAGUGAUCCUGCGCCGAAGAUUUCUGGGGCUAAAACUUACUACCGAAGCUACGGCAUCAGUAAUGAUGGGUAGGGGAGCUUCCCAUACGGGUUGAAGCAUGACCGUAAGGACAUGUGGACAGUAUGGGAGUGAGAAUGUUGGCAUGAGUAGCGAGAUGUGGGUGAGAAUCCCACAGGCCGUAAAC
rnacentral:rRNA from 1 species